rnacentral:rRNA from 1 species
AAACGAUUAAAGUCAGUCGUACCGAUGGGUAAUCAGCCUUUUGGGUGCGAUUAUGUGGUACGUGGAAAGAUUUCACGGUUGCAUAUUUGUGCCUUUUGGGUGUAUUUGCUCGUAUGGUAGGUUAACAUCAAUUUCGGGCAUCAUAAAAUGACGGGAGGAAUGUGGCUUCUCCGGAAGUGUUAUAGCCUCUGGUAGAUGUGAUGACCGAGAUUGAGGAUUGCAACGAAUACCUUCUGGGUUACCUGCCUG